GAACCCAUGGCACAGUGGUUAGCUCGCAUGACUUAAAAACACGCCCGUGGUGGGUUCAAGCCUCGCAUGGUCCG
rnacentral:tRNA from 1 species